rnacentral:rRNA from 1 species
ACUCAAAUGAAUUGACGGGGGCCCGCACAAGCAGCGGAGCGUGUGGUUUAAUUCGACGCAACGCGCAGAACCUUACCAAGGCUUGACAUGCAGGGUUCAGGGGGUGAAAGCCUCUGGGUUCGUCCGACCUGCACAGAUGCUGCAUGGCUGUCGUCAGCUCGUGUCGUGAGAUGUUGGGUUAAGUCCCGCAACGAGCGCAACCCUCGUGCCUAGUUGUAUGUUUCUAGGCAGACUGCCGCUGUGAAUGCGGAGGAAGGCGGGGAUGAUGUCAAGUCAGCAUGGCUCUUACGCCUUGGGCGACACACACGCUACAAUGGCCGGGACAGAGGGUCGCCAACCCGCGAGGGGGAGCCAAUCUCACAAACCCGGUCUCAGUUCAGAUGGGGGGCUGCAACUCGCCCCCCUGAAGGCGGAGUUGCUAGUAACCGUGGGUCAGCCAUACCGCGGUGAAUGUGUUCCCGGGCCUUGUACACACCGCCCGU